AGUGAACGCUGGCGGUAGGCCUAACACAUGCAAGUCGAACGGCAGCACAGUAAGUGCUUGCUCUUACGGGUGGCGAGUGGCGGACGGGUGAGGAAUACAUCGGAAUCUACUCUUUCGUGGGGGCUAACGUAGGGAAACUUACGCUAAUACCGCAUACGACCUACGGGUGAAAGCAGGGGAUCUUCGGACCUUGUGCGAAUGAAUGAGCCGAUGUCGGAUUAGCUAGUUGGCGGGGUAAAGGCCCACCAAGGCGACGAACCGUAGCUGGUGUGAGAGGAGGAUCCGCCACCCUGGAAGUGAGACGGGGACACGACUCCUACGGGAGGCCACAGUGGGGAAUAUUGGGCAAUGGGCGCAAGCCUGAUCCAGCCAUACCGCGUAGGUGAAGAAGGCCUUCGGGUUGGAAAGCCCUUUUGUUGGUAAAGAAAAGCAGCAGGUUAAUACCCCGCUGUACUGACGGUACCCAAAGAAUAAGCACCGGCUAACUUCGUG
rnacentral:rRNA from 1 species